GAUGAACGCUGGCGGCGUGCCUAACACAUGCAAGUCGAACGGAAAGACCCGGAUCUUGCUCCUCUGACGUUUGCCGCGGGCGGGUGAGUAACGUGUGGAUAACCUCCCUAUCUGACUGGGAUCUUUUCGGGAAUCCGGAGCUAAUCCGGUAUAAUCUAUUGAUGCGUAGGGGUGGAUAGUAAGUGUCGGCUGUUCGGGAACUUCUCGCUGGAUCCGCGCUGGAUGGGAUAGUUGGUACGUAAACGGCUUACGAAGGCGAGCAUGCGUAGCCGAACUGAGAGGGUGAUCGGCCACACUGGAAGUGAGACACGGACCAGACUCCUACGGGAGGCAGCAGUAGGGAAUCUUCCGCAAUGGGCGAAAGCCUGACGGAGCAACGCCGCGUGAGUGAUGAAGGUCUUCGGAUCGUAAAGCUCUGUUAUUAGGGAAGAACAAAUGUGUAAGUAAAUAUGCACGUCUUGACGGUACCUAAUCAGAAAGCCCCGGCUAACUACGUG
rnacentral:rRNA from 1 species